UACGUAGGUGGCAAGCGUUGUCCGGAAUUAUUGGGCGUAAAGCGCGCGCAGGCGGUCCUUUAAGUCUGAUGUGAAAGCCCACGGCUCAACCGUGGAGGGUCAUUGGAAACUGGGGGACUUGAGUACAGAAGAGAAGAGUGGAAUUCCACGUGUAGCGGUGAAAUGCGUAGAGAUGUGGAGGAACACCAGUGGCGAAGGCGACUCUGUGGUCUGUAACUGACGCUGAGGCGCGAAAGCGUGGGGAGCGAACCGG
rnacentral:rRNA from 1 species